GUUGACAUGUUUUACCUUUAUUCAAAUUAAUUGUGUGUGGGUGUGUGUGUGUGUGUAUCAUAGUUAAUAAAAAAAUAGUAUUUUGGAGAGCGCAAAAUUAACUACUUUAACUAAUGAGACAAUAUUAGCCUAUAAAUAAGUUUGCAUAGAAGCGAAUUCAGAAAUGAGUUCGUCGAGCACGUAUUGACACUGCUGAGUUCAACUUUCAAAACUCUUUUAUUGUAGUAUAAAAUAAUUUCAAAAUGGAAGAA